rnacentral:tRNA from 1 species
GCGGGAUUCCCCAAGCCUGGUAUGGGGCAGGCCUGCUAAGUCUGUGGGCGAAAGUCCACGUGGGUUCAAAUCCCACAUCCCGCGCCA